rnacentral:lncRNA from 1 species
AUGAUUGGGUUUGACAUAUUUUCAUGCCCACAGCUCAUCUGAGAUAUUGUUUGACUGAAAGAUUGAAUUACACUGAAACUUGUCACUGAAGGGUAUUUUGAUAAUGUUCUACCAAAAUUUUAAAUCUUUUAGGUAGUCAUGACAUAUUGUUAGAUAUCAAUAUUAACUUGUGAGCUUGAUAAAAAUUGAAAAUAUUUGAUUCUAGAAUCAAUUUGAAAGAGUCCAAGUUGAUUGGGACUCUUCGGGUGGUCUAAUCUCAUCGGAUUAGGGCUAUGUCGAAAGUUCGGAUCUACUGCUGGCU